CGAUGUCAGCUCUUCCUAUCAUUGUGAAGCAGAAUUCACCAAGCAUUGGAUUGUUCACCCACUAAUAGGGAACGUGAGCUGGGAUUGGACCGUCGUGAGACAGGUU
rnacentral:ncRNA from 1 species